UGUCGUUGUUGUUACUUGGAUAUCCAUGGUAAUUCUAGAGCUAAUACAUGCGUCCAGACCCGACUUUUGCGAAAGGGUUGGGCUUAUAAAACCCUGCCCCACCCCGGGUUCCCCGGUUUCAAGUUGAUUGAUGGAAAUCAAACGAAUCGCAUGCUUCGGCGGCAAAAAUUCAUUCAAUUUUCUAACCUAUCACCUUCCAACGGUAGGUUUUGGGCCAACCGGGCCUUUGACGGGUAACGGAAAAUUAGGGUUUGAUUCCGGAAAGGGAGCCGGAAAAACGGUUACCCCAUCUAGGGAAGGGGACGGGGGGGCAAAUAACCCAACCCGGAGACAGGAAGGUAUUGACAAAAAAAACCAAAAUAAGGCUUUUUGUCUUGUAAUUGGAAUGAAAACAAUUUAAUCCCCUAGCCGAGUAUCAGUUGGAGGGCAAGUCUGGAU
rnacentral:rRNA from 1 species